rnacentral:tRNA from 1 species
CUAAAAGUUCUCCAGACACA